CCCGCCACGCCUCUUAACAAUGCGUACCAAGGCGGGA
rnacentral:sRNA from 1 species